GACGAACGCUGGCGGCGUGCCUAAUACAUGCAAGUCGAGCGCAGGAAAUCGACGGAACCCUUCGGGGGGAAGUCGACGGAAUGAGCGGCGGACGGGUGAGUAACACGUAAAGAACCUGCCCUCAGGUCUGGGAUAACCACGAGAAAUCGGGGCUAAUACCGGAUGGGUCAUCGGACCGCAUGGUCCGAGGAUGAAAGGCGCUCCGGCGUCGCCUGGGGAUGGCUUUGCGGUGCAUUAGCUAGUUGGUGGGGUAAUGGCCCACCAAGGCGACGGUGCAUAGCCGACCUGAGAGGGUGAUCGGCCACACUGGGACUGAGACACGGCCAAGACUCCUACGGGAGGCAGCAGUAGGGAAUCUUCCACAAUGGACGAAAGUCUGAUGGAGCAACGCCGCGUGAACGAUGAAGGCCUUCGGGUCGUAAAGUUCUGUUGUAAGGGAAGAACAAGUGCCGCAGGCAAUGGCGGCACCUUGACGGUACCUUGCGAGAAAGCCACGGCUAACUACGUGCCAGCCGCCGCAGUAAAAC
rnacentral:rRNA from 1 species